GGGCCCGCACAAGCGGUGGAGCAUGUGGUUUAAUUCGAUGAUACGCGAGGAACCUUACCAGGGCUUAAAUGUAGUGGGACAGGUCUAGAGAUAGACCCUUCUUCGGACUCAUUACAAGGUGCUGCAUGGUUGUCGUCAGCUCGUGCCGUGAGGUGUCAGGUUAAGUCCUAUAACGAGCGCAACCCCUAUCGUUAGUUGCCAGCGAGUAAUGUCGGGAACUCCAGGGAGACUGCCGGUGAUAAGCCGGAGGAAGGCGGGGAUGACGUCAAGUCCUCAUGGCCCUUACGGGCCGGGCUACACACGUGCUACAAUGGUAUCUACAGUGAGCUGCAAAGGGGUGACCUGGAGCAAAUCUCAAAAAGAUAUCUCAGUUCGGAUUGCACUCUGCAACUCGGGUGCAUGAAGUUGGAAUCGCUAGUAAUCG
rnacentral:rRNA from 1 species